AAGUCGUAACAAGGUUUCCGUAGGUGAACCUGCGGAAGGAUCAUUACCAGUGAAGUGCUCGCGCCCUCGUGGCCGGGCGCCCACCCACCCGUGUUUACAUACUCUUGUUGCUUUGGCAGGCCGUGUCCUGCACGGCGGGCUCUGCUCGUGUGUGCCUGCCAGAGGACCAAACUCUGAAUGUUAGUGAUGUCUGAGUACUAUCUAAUAGUUAAAA
rnacentral:misc_RNA from 1 species